rnacentral:rRNA from 1 species
ACGGAAGGCAGCAGUGAGGAAUAUUGGUCAAUGGACGCAAGUCUGAACCAGCCAUGCCGCGUGCAGGAAUAAGGCCCUAUGGGUCGUAAACUGCUUUUGUGGUGGAGCAAUAAGUCGUACGUGUACGGCGAUGAGAGUACAUCACAAAUAAGCAUCGGCUAACUCCGUGCCAGCAGCCGCGGUAAUACGGAGGAUGCAAGCGUUAUCCGGAUUUAUUGGGUUUAAAGGGUGCGUAGGCUGUGGUCCAAGUCAGGGGUGAAAGCCCGGAGCUCAACUCCGGAACUGCCUUUGAUACUGGAUUGCUGGAAUACGGAUGCCGUGGGAGGAAUGAGUAGUGUAGCGGUGAAAUGCAUAGAUAUUACUCAGAACACCGAUUGCGAAGGCAUCUCACGAAUCCGUCAUUGACGCUGAGGCACGAAAGCGUGGGGAUCAAACAGGAUUAGAUACCCUGGUA